GACGAACGCUGGCGGCGUGCUUAACACAUGCAAGUCGAACGGAAAGGCCCUGCUUUCGUGGGGUGCUCGAGUGGCGAACGGGUGAGUAACACGUGAGUAACCUGCCCUUGACUUUGGGAUAACUUCAGGAAACUGGGGCUAAUACCGGAUAGGAGCUCCUGCUGCAUGGUGGGGGUUGGAAAGUUUCGGCGGUUGGGGAUGGACUCGCGGCUUAUCAGCUUGUUGGUGGGGUAGUGGCUUACCAAGGCUUUGACGGGUAGCCGGCCUGAGAGGGUGACCGGCCACAUUGGGACUGAGAUACGGCCCAGACUCCUACGGGAGGCAGCAGUGGGGAAUAUUGCACAAUGGGCGGAAGCCUGAUGCAGCAACGCCGCGUGCGGGAUGACGGCCUUCGGGUUGUAAACCGCUUUCGCCUGUGACGAAGCGUGAGUGACGGUAAUGGGUAAAGAAGCACCGGCUAACUACGCG
rnacentral:rRNA from 1 species